UACGGGGGGGGCAAGCGUUGUUCGGAAUUACUGGGCGUAAAGCGUGCGCAGGCGGUUAUGUAAGACAGUUGUGAAAUCCCCGGGCUCAACCUGGGAAUUGCAUCUGUGACUGCAUAGCUAGAGUACGGUAGAGGGGGAUGGAAUUCCGCGUGUAGCAGUGAAAUGCGUAGAUAUGCGGAGGAACACCGAUGGCGAAGGCAAUCCCCUAGACCUGUACUGACGCUCAUGCACGAAAGCGUGGGGAGCAAACAGG
rnacentral:rRNA from 1 species